UGCUCCAAGGCCACCCCGGGCCUUUCCAGGCUUUCUAAACAGCCGGGAAUCCGACAACUUUCUGCUUUUUUGGUUUUUUUUCCCUUUUCUUUAUAGGUUUUGUUUUCCACUUUGCUCCUCCGAGAAAAUUCCUUCCCAAACCCGGUGUUGGGGGAGGGGGUGGUUGGAGGUUUGUUUUGUUUUGGGCUCCCUUUUGGAUAUUUCCCCCCAAUUUGUCCUAAACCAGGACACCAGCCUUUUUGCCAUUUUUUUCCCGUUUUUUUUCCAGGAUUUUUCUCAUUUUAUUCCCGUUUUUUUCCCAGGAUUUUUCCCAUUUUUUGCCGUUUUUUUCCCAGGAUUUUUUCCAUUUUAUUCCCAUUUUUUUCCCAAGGAUUUUUACCAUUUUUACCCAUUUUUUUCCCUUUUUUUCCCCUAGGAUUUUUCCCAGGAUUUUCCUUUUUUUUCCCAUUUUUUUCCCGGAAUUUCUCCAGGAUUUUUCCCAUUUUUUCCCAUAAUUUUCCCCUGAUUUUUCCCUUUUUUUUUCCCAGGAUUUUCCCAUUUUCCCCGGAAUUUUCCCCAUUUUUUCCCAGGCUUUUUGUCAUUUUUUUGCCAUUUUUUUGCCAUUUUUUUUCAGGAUUUUUCCCAUUUUAUUCCCGUUUUUUCCCAGGAUUUUUCCCAUUUUCCCCCAUAAUUUUUCCUGGAUUUUUCCCGGGAUUUUUUCCCAGUUUUUUCCUGGAUUUUUUUCCCCGGAAUUUUCCCAUUUUUCCCCAGGAUUUUUCCCAGGUUUUUUCCCAGGAUUUUUCCCAUUUUCUCCCCAGGAUUUUUUCCCAUUUUUUCCCCGGAAUUUUCCUAGGUUUUUUACCAGGGUUUUCCCAUUUUCUCCCCAGGAUUUUCCCAUUUUUUCCCCCAGAUUUUUCUCAUUUUUUUCCCUUUAUUUCUCAUAAUUUUUCCCUGAUUUUUCCCGUUUUUCCCUGGUUUUUCCCAUUUUUUACCCGAAUUUUUCCCUUUUUUUUCCCCCAUUUUUUCCCAGGAUUUUUCCCUUUUUUGUCCAGAAUUUUCCUGGAAUUUUUCCCGUUUUUGCCCAUUUUUUUCCCAGGAUUUUUCCCAUUUUCCCCGGAAUUUUCCCCAUUUUUUCCCAGGCUUUUAGUCAUUUUUUUGCCAUUUUUUUGCCAUUUUUUUUCAGGAUUUUUCCAAUUUUAUUCCAGUUUUUUCCCAGAAUUUUUCCCAUUUUUUCCCAUAAUUUUUCCCCGAUUUUUCCCGCUUUUCCCUGUUUUUCCCCAUAAUUUUCCCCCGAUUUUUCCCGGGAUUUUUCCCUAUUUUUUCCCAUUUUUUCCAGGAUUUUUGCCAUUUUAUUCCUAUUUUAUUCCCAUU
rnacentral:lncRNA from 1 species